rnacentral:rRNA from 1 species
AGCAGCCGCGGUAAUUCCAGCUCCAAUAGCGUAUAUUAAAGUUGUUGCAGUUAAAAAGCUCGUAGUUGAAUUUCGGGAUCAAUACGUCGGUCGUGCUUUCGGGUACGUACUGGCGUCAUUGGUUUCUCCUUUCUGACGAACCAUGAUGUCAUUAAUUUGGUGUUAUGGGGAGUUAGGACUGUUACUUUGAAAAAAUUAGAGUGUUUAAAGCAGGCAUUAGCUUGAAUACAUUAGCAUGGAAUAAUGAAAUAGGACGUUCGAUCCUAUUUUGUUGGUUUCUAGGAUCAACGUAAUGAUUAAUAGGGAUAGUUGGGGGCAUUAGUAUUCGAUUGUCAGAGGUGAAAUUCUUGGAUUUAUUGAAGACUAACUACUGCGAAAGCAUUUGCCAAGGAUGUUUUCAUUAAUCAAGAACGAAAGUUAGGGGAUCGAAGACGAUCAGAUACCGUCGUAGUCUUAACCAUAAACUAUGCCGACUAGGGAUCGGAUGAUGUUAAUUUUUUUAAUGACUCAUUCGGCGCCU